CCUACGGGAGGCAGCAGUGAGGAAUAUUGGUCAAUGGACGAGAGUCUGAACCAGCCAAGUCGCGUGAAGGAUGACUGCCCUAUGGGUUGUAAACUUCUUUUAUCAAGGAAUAAAACGCGGCACGUGUGCCUUUUUGCAUGUACUUUAUGAAUAAGGAUCGGCUAACUCCGUGCCAGCAGCCGCGGUAAUACGGAGGAUCCGAGCGUUAUCCGGCUUUAUUGGGUUUAAAGGGAGCGUAGAUGGGUUGUUAAGUCAGUUGUGAAAGUUUGCGGCUCAACCGUAAAAGUGCAAUUGAUACUGGCAGUCGUGAGUACAGUUGAGGUAGGCGGAAUUCGUGGUGUAGCGGUGAAAUGCUUAGAUAGCACGAAGAACCCCGAUUGCGAAGGCAGCUUACUAGACUGUGACUGACAUUGAUGCUCGAAAGUGUGGGUAUCAAACAGGAUUAGAUACCCGAGUAGUC
rnacentral:rRNA from 1 species